rnacentral:rRNA from 1 species
UACGUAGGGAGCAAGCGUUGUCCGGAAUCAUUGGGCGUAAAGCGCGCGUAGGCGGCCCGGUAAGUCCGCUCUGAAAGUCCAGGGCUCAACCCUGGAAUGCAGGUGGAUACUGCCGGGCUAGAGUCCGGAAGAGGCGAGUGGAAUUCCUGGUGUAGCGGUGGAAUGCGUAGAGAUCCGGAAGAACACCGGUGGCGAAGGCGGCCUGCUGGGCAGUAGCUGACGCUGAGGCGCGACAGCGUGGGGAGCAAACAGG